AAGGGUAAAAGCGAUGGAAGACUGGGGGUCAGAAAAAGUACCAAGACAUUCCGCGCACCUGUCCCAAAUUGUGCUCGCAGUACAGCAAUAGAAGUCUUAGAGAACGAACGCGAUGGAAGACACAGGGUUAGGAAAAGCACCAAGACUUUCCGUGCGCCUGAUCCAAAUUCUACACGCAGUGCAGCAAUAGAAGACUCAUGGAUUGGAGAUAAUGGAUCCAGACGGGUUAUCAGGAAAAGCACAAAGACAUUCCGCGCCCCUGAUCCCAAGUCUACGCGCAGUAGUCCAGUAGAG